GGGGGCGUCCGGUCUCGACGGGGUAGUUGGGCUUCGGGAUCGCGAGUCGAAGGCGUGAGCGUCACAGCGCAAAAAAGACAAGUGCCAACAAGCACUCACAGCUCGCUCUGGCCGCGUAAGUAGCCUGAGUUAGCUCCCCGGGACUUCGAUCCCGGGCGUGGCCCUCGGUAGGUCCGGCGGACCGGGGAGCCACGUCAAACAGCCGGAUCGCCGCCUGGGAGGCGCCUCGGCUCCAGGGCGGGACUUUCACCGAGGCUGGCCGCAAGGAUCCUGUCGUGAGGAGCCCCAAGGCGAGAUCAAAAUCACGAAAACACUCGUAGAGAUCCCGAGGGACGCUGCUUCGGACGCGGGUUCAACUCCCGCCGCCUCCACCA
rnacentral:tmRNA from 1 species